rnacentral:antisense_RNA from 1 species
GUUCCCGCCGGGGCCCGGGGCGCCCUGAAAUGGGGUCCACGCCAGCCCCCUCCCGAGCGUGUCCUCAGGUCUAAGGACGGCGCUGUGAACAAUGGAACCAUCAAAAAGGCCUUCUCCCAGCCGCCUCACCAACCACGGACAUUCCUGGCCCAACAAGCCCUCCUGGCCUGGUUUUGAGCCCUGCUUCCCAGAUCUGGGGACCCUUCACCUGCCUCUACUACUGCAAAUGAUUGGAUAUUCGUCUGCCUUGGCUCUUCCCUAAUGUGUGGAACUAAUUUUGUUCACUCUGUUUCAUGCUGGACCUGGCCUGAAAAUGGGCCCUUACAUUGUCUUUGCACUUUCCAACUUGCCAAGUUUCUGAAAGAAGGACCAAAGUAAUGCCAAGAACUCCCAGAUGAAGAGGACCUUCCUUAGACCUAUAACAGAUUCACUACUUGACUUCAGAGGGACGUUUCAGCUAAUUCUCAGGAAAAGGUCAAAACAGGCCUGUGACUGUCCCUCGAAUACUGAAGGUAUAAACAAGCUUCUGGCUCCUCCAGGUCAAGCAGAGGAACACUUUUAUUAGAAUGAAGGGU